GAAAUCCUGAGGUGUUCGAUACUCUUGAUAUUUUGAACCUACAUGACAUAAAAUGGGAUUCCUACAUUGCUUACCGUAUGUCAGGCCUCGUUCGUAGUUUUUAGUGGAAGGCAGAAAGUAAGUUGCGGUAACCCACCUAGCGUAUAGCUAGGCGUCAAAAAAUCAAGAACCGGCACUUUGGGGCAAUC
rnacentral:other from 1 species